UAACUUUAAUGCAUUUAUUCUUAAGCUUUUACAAAUUUUUGCAAUAUUUGAUUUAAUAGAUUAAGAAAAGAUUCUGAGGCUAUUGAUUUAAUUUGUAAAACUGCUUUCUAAAUUAGAUGACCGUGGGGCUGGGGAUGUGGCUCAAGUGGUAGCGCGCUCGCCUGGCAUGCGUGCGGCCCGGGUUCAAUCCUCAGCACCACAUUCAAACAAAGAUGUUGUAUCCUCCGAGAACUAAAAUAAAUAAAUAAAUAUUUAAAAUAAAUAAAUAAAUAAAUAAAUUAGAUGACCGUGGUCGGCUAUCAGCACAGGCUUUUGGGUUGGGUGGGGGCUGAACCCUGGCUCCAUGGGCUGGAGGGAGACUCUUAGAGGCCUUCAGCAAUGAGAAUGUGAUGGCCUCCAGCCCUUCGCAAAAUAAAUAUGGCAAAAUAAGCAACUCCCAGCUAAAACUAUGUUGUGAGGAAGGCUAAUAUUGGAUGUUACCCAUGAUUAAUGCUUUUAUUUUUUUGGUUAUCAAAUUUCACAUUUGAUUAAACAACUUUUUCUCAAUUUUUGGGUGCCCCCUCAAUAAUGCCUGAGACAUGCGCUGGGUUCACUUGCUGUGUUGAGGCAGAAGAGCCGCACUUUGUACCCACAAGACCUUGAUGGGACUAUGAUGGUUAGUGAUGGAGCACCCAGUCUCACCCAGUCUCCAUAGAACUGGACACUAAGGAAAAGGCCCACCUGCCAUGAGUUCAAGGUCAGUUAGAGACGUCCACUUUGUAGCUUUUUUUUGGUGGUGCUGGGGAUUGAACUCAGGGCCUUAACAACAUGCAAGGCAAGCACUCUACCAACUGAGCUAUAUCCCCAGCCCAACUUUGUAGCCUUUUUUUUAAAGAGAAUGUUUGCAAAAUAUCCAAUAUAUAGCUGGAGUAGGUGCUCAGAAAUCAUAUUCUGCUGGCUUGAAUUUACCCACAUGACCAUUUUACAUAAUAACCCAGUGUGUUUCCCAUUGAUGCAAAAAUUUUCUAAGUUUAUUGGAGUAAACAUCUGUAGUCAUUUGUAGCACUUGUAUGGUCAAGUGCAUGAAUCUUUUUUUUUUAUUUCUUCCAAUACUUUAGAAAGCACCCUCUACCCCAUUUUACCUCCUCGUACUGAUAUCUAAUUACACUGUCACAUUAUUUUUCUUCUAGUCUCAUAUCAUGGGAUUUAUUGCAUUUCCUAUAAUCCACUGAAAGAUGAGGCUUCACUCUUGUUUCUUUCCUAAACAUGCAUCCAAUUGACCAGGAAAAUCCCUACUCAGAAAGAGGAGGGGAAGAAGCAUUCCUGACCCCCAUACACCACCAUACACACUGCACUCAAGUGUGUGCAUUUAAAAAUUGACAGCUGUGGGGCUGGGGCUGUAGCUCAGUAGUAGAGCACCUGUCUCACGUGUAUGGGGCCCUGGGUUCAAUCCUCAGCACCACAUAAAAUAAAUAAAUAAAGAUAUUGUGUCCAUCUACAACUAAAAAACAAUUUUUCUUUUUUGUUAAUUGACAGCUGUAAACAGUUCUGCCUGUCUGCCUGCUCAGCGGCUCUUUGUUUUCUCCAAUCCCCCUUGAACUCAUUCAAAUGCCAUCUGUGCUUCCUUCCUGCUGAGGUCUUGAGGUUGGUUUAGGUGACAGUAGGGAUGACAAUUCUUCCCAGCACUUCUAGUGUGAGCUCUGAGAGCAGUGUGUGCUAGGACUCCAGUGUCCAUGUGGCUGCCCCUGAUUUUGUCCACGGCAGCCUCCUCCCUGUUUUCAGCCAUACAUGGAACAUGCAUUAGCACCCUCUUCUCCUUCUCUGUGCCCUUCCGUCAGCACUGGAGGAGGCAGAGACUCUCGGUACUCUCAGCUCCAGCCAAGGAGCUUAAUGGCUCCUCCUUAGGCAUUCUGUAAACUUCUCUGCCUGUUCACAGCCAUCUGCCAUCUUCCCCGCCUCUGCAGGUGUAGACCAUGACCUCCCUCCCCACUUCCUUCUGUCCAAGUCCUGACCAAUAAUGCCUGACGGGUUGGAAAUAGCCUCAUGGGCAAAUCAAUAAAGAUACUUAGAUUUGAUGGAAGGUGAUACACUAGACAAACGAAAGGAGAGGAGAAAAGUCGACUAAAGCGUGGACCCACAACUUGCAGUCAAGUUGGUGGCCAGUAGGCCCUCCAGAUGGACCUCACACAGAGCUGAGGAACCAGGGCUGCCCUCGGCAUGGGGCCUGGUGCUGACUUGGCCUUGCUGAACUCCACUGCUCUUUCUGUCUCUGCCUCUUUCCUUCCCCUUCCAUCUCUGCUCGGCACUUUUUUCUACUUGAUUUAAUUCUCCUUCCCCUCCUUGGAGACGGGGGUAGGAGAAGAAAGUGACUACCAGAACCUCCUACUCUGCAAGUUUUAAGUUUUAAAAUCCCCAGAAAGCACUCUGACAGGUCUGCAUUCACUCCCAGGCCCACCUUAGAUGAGUCACCAUGGGCAUAGGAAUGGCUACCAUGAGUGGUCAGCCCUAUGACAGGAGCCCACCACAUCACCAGGGAGAAGAUGCUAUGAUUGGCAGCUUCAUCAGAAUCACUGGAUGGAGGGAUAGAAGAAGUGACUCCCUAAAAGAAAGGUAUUGUACUAAGGUAGGGGAGGGAAGGGAAGGUCAGAGGAGAAGCAGCCAAGGUGUUGAGCAGACAAAAUCUUCCACUGCAUCCCACAGACUGGCAGCAGGGAGGCCAUGUGUGAUGAUGACCCAGACACUGCUGCCACCGCCUCUGCCAUCCUUCCACACUAUUGUCCUGUGUCAGGGACAUUCUGACUUGGAGUUCUGUGUGUCCUGGCUCCCCUUCACACACUGUUCCUUCUUCUCUGAGCCCUCCUACUCCUCCUGCUCCACCUGGCUAAUUCCAACUUGUGCUUCAGUUCAUGUUGCACCUACCACCUGUGGCAGGAGGACUGCAAGGACUCCCCACCCAGUUGGGAUCCCAGAACAGCACAUUCCCCAUCAGAUGGAGACAACUCCCUCCGGGUUAAGCAGAAACAACCUAUUACAGGGUUCAGGGCAGCUUAGAGAACUUGUGGGAAGCUAGCUACCAAGCGAAGGCAACACUAAACUAUGAGCAACGUAGCCAGAAGAAACAUCCUAAAGCCAGGCAUGGUAGUGCCUGCCUGUAAUCCCAGCAGCUCAGGAGGAUGAGGCAGGAGGAUCUGGAAUUCAAAGCCAGCCUCAGCAACUUAGCAAGGCCCUAAGCAACUCAGUAAGACCCUGUCUCUAAAUAAAACACAAAAAAGGGCUGGGGGGCUGGGGAUAUGGCUCAGUUGGUAGAGUGCCUACCUCACAUGCACAUGGCCCUGGGUUCAAUCCCCAGCACCACAAAAAAGUGGGCGGAGGGGCUGGGGGUGUGGCUCAGUGGUUAAGUACCCCAGGGUCAAUCCCCAGUACUAAAAAAAAAACCCUACAGAAAACCUGCCAGACCCUGCUUGCCACUAGCCCCUCCAACACAACAGAAUUCUAGACUCCUGCAGCAAUCCUCACCCAAGACAACCCCCACCCUCCUGCUACCAGGAGGCCUGGCCACCGGUGAUAUCUGCUUUCACCUCCCAGUCUCUACUAGGGGGAAGCUCAGUCCCCCAGAGAAUCCCAGCACAGGGGAUCCUGGAAGAGAGCCUCCACCACUGGGAACAGCAGAGAGGCAUCAAGUGGCCACAAAAGCCAUUUUUAAGGGCAAAUUCAUGGUUGUCACACUGUCGUCAUGAGUGUUUUGGUAUCUAUGUGAAAACCAUUUCCAGAAGUACUUUUAAUUAACACCCCCUUUAUCUGAUACUGGUAUUGCUAAAGCAGCUUUCUUUGGUCACUCACUUCCUGGUAUCCCUCUGUUAUCUGUGUUAUUCUGUUUGAGGUGUGUAACAUAAACAAUACACGAAACUAAAAUUUUUAAAAGUCAAUCUAAGAAUUCUCGGGUCAGUUUAAAGAUCCAUUUAUUUUUCACAGGGAAUAAGAACCUAAUAGCUUAUGUUUGUCACUCUUUAUUUUCUUUUUAUGAAGGUUGUUCUUGUUCCUCCUCCUCUUUCUCUCUUCUUUUGGGUUUUCAAGAUUCUCUAUUUUGGACUGGGGUUGUGGCUCAGUGGUAGAGCACUUGCCUAGCAUGUGUGAGGCACUGGGUUCGAUUCUCAGCACCACAUAAAAAAUAAAUAAAUAAAAUAAAGGCAUUGGGUCCAACUACACUUAAAAAUAAAUAUGUUUUUAAAAUUCUCUAUUUUUUUUUUAUUUUCAACAACUUUGGGAGUUAACAUUUGACUUCUAAUCAUUUAGUGGUUCUCCAGGACAAGAUGCUUACAAUGACAUAACUUCUCUCCUGUCACCGCUUUCCCCAAGGCCCAUGCAGUUAUUAUCUAACUUUGGGGUCAGAAUGCUUUUUAUUAUUAUUAUUAUUAUUAUUAUUAGUUAUAGUUGGACACAAUACUUUUAUUUUAUUUUUUUUUUAUGUGGUGUUGAGGAUCAAACCCAGCACCUCGCACGUGCCAGGCAAGCUCUCUACCACUGAGCCCCAGCCCCAGCCCCAGAAUGCUUUGAUCUGUGCUUGGAAAGGAGGUUUCUCUGCAGUGACUCUGCCAUCUUGAUCUAGCUGUUAUAACAGUCCUUCAUUCACUCUUUGCUUUAUCAAAAUCCUCCAGCCCCACAGCCUUCACCUUCCUGCUUAUGCUUCAUCCACAUCUGAGACCCCCAACCCCUGGCUCAUCAUCUGCCAUCAUCUCUCUCCUCAGCAGGGGAGAAGCCAAGCAGGUGCCACUCACUGCUGAAGAACAUGUGCCCAGGAGCAUGAAGAAGUGGCUGAGGACCUGCUGGAGCCCCUGGCCUACUCCUUCCCUUCUUGUCUGCACACAACCUUGCCUCCUGCUUCAGGGGAAGUAGGAGCCAUCAAGGAGAACUCCCAGAGUUUUCUACUUCCCCACAGCAAACGCAUCUCCACCCAUAAUUGUCUCUCCUCUCACAGGACACGAGAGAGCAACCUCCCUCUGCUCCCAGGCCAUCCUGACACAGACCCUCAUUACUGCCCUGUCUCCUAUUUGUAAUUCUCCCCCACUCUGCCUCCAGAAAACAUUGGCUACAUUAAUACCUUGCCUGUGGUGAAU
rnacentral:lncRNA from 1 species